rnacentral:rRNA from 1 species
UACGUAGGGGCCUAGCGUUGUCCGGAAUUAUUGGGCGUAAAGAGCUCGUAGGCGGUUUGUCGCGUCUGCUGUGAAAACUCGGGGCUUAACCCCGGGCCUGCAGUGGGUACGGGCAGACUAGAGUGCGGUAGGGGAGACUGGAAUUCCUGGUGUAGCGGUGAAAUGCGCAGAUAUCAGGAGGAACACCGGUGGCGAAGGCGGGUCUCUGGGCCGUAACUGACGCUGAGGAGCGAAAGCGUGGGGAGCGAACAGG